rnacentral:rRNA from 1 species
AUGGAGUUAAGCACGGUGCCGCCGCUCCCCAGUGCCAAGGGCACGGCCGUGGCCGUGAACCUAGUGCUGGCGACGAGCGAGGCCAAGAGACAGCUCCGCCUCGCCGGGCCGCUGAUCGUGGGAUGCCUGCUGCAGAGCGUCAUCCAGAUGAUCUCCGUCAUGUUCGUCGGGCACCUGGGCGAGCUCGCGCUGGCCAGCGCCUCCAUGGCCAGCUCAUUCGCCAUCGUCACCGGCUUCAGCUUCCUGGUACCCUACUACUCGAGCCAGCACAUUCACAUACGAUACGGCGCACAUGCAUGCAUGUUCUUCUCCCACUUUGCAUUUAGCUUGUCGAUCGAACCAUGGCAGACGGGCAUGUCGUUCGCCCUGGACACCCUGUGCGGGCAGGCCUUCGGGGCGAGCGAGCACCACAUGCUGGGAGUGUACAAGCAGAGGGCGAUGCUGGUGCUGGGCCUGGCGAGCGUCCCGAUCGCGGCGGUGUGGGCCAACACCGGCGCGAUCCUGCUGCACCUGGGGCAGGACCCGGAGAUCGCGGCGGGCGCCGGGACGUACAUCCGGUGGAUGAUCCCGGCGCUCUUCUUCUACGGGUGGCUGCAGUGCCACGUGCGGUUCCUGCAGGCGCAGAAGCUGGUGGUGCCGGUGAUGCUCAGCUCCGGCGCCACCGCGGUGAGCCACGUGCUGGUGUGCUGGGCGCUGGUGUACAGGCUGCGGCUGGGGAUCAGAGGCGCCGCGCUGGCCAACGCCGUGUCCUACCUCACCAACGUCUCCAUACUGGCCGUCUACGUCAGGGUCUCGCCGUCGUGCAACAAGAGCUGGACGGGGUUCUCUUUCGAGGCAUUCCACGGCCUCAUCCCCUUCUUGAAGCUCGCCGUGCCAUCCGCGCUCAUGGUCUGCAUGGAGUGGUGGUCGUUCGAGGUGAUGGUGAUACUGUCCGGCCUUCUCCCCAACCCCAAGCUCGAGACGGCCGUCCUCUCCAUCUGCUUGAACACCAACUCCUUGGUGUGCACGGUCCCGAAUGGGCUCUCUUCGGCCAUAAGCACGCGCGUGUCCAACGAGCUCGGAGCGGGGCGGCCCCGGGCGGCGCUUCUGGCGGCCCGCGUGGUGAUAGUGCUGGCGUUUCUGGUGGGCACGUCGGAGGGGCUCCUCCUGGUACUUGUGCACAAAGUGUGGGGCUAUGCCUACAGCAAGGACCAGGAGGUGGUCUCCUACGUCGGCACCAUGAUGCUCAUCCUCGCCGUCUCCGUCCUCUUCGACGGCCUCCAGUACGUCCUCUCAGGUAUAGUUCGGGGCUGUGGACAACAGAAGAUUGGCGCUUUUGUUAAUUUCAUUGCGUAUUAUCUAGUUGGUAUCCCUGCAGCACUGGUUUUCACCUUCAAGUGCCAUCUUGGUGGAAAGGGGCUUUGGUUGGGAAUAUUGAGCGGAUUGGUGACACAGACGUUGUUGCUUCUUUUCAUUUCCUUUGGCAACACUGAUUGGGAUAAACAAGCAAUUAAUGCAAAGGAUAGAAUUUUGACGUCGCCGCCUGUGGAGCCAUGA